AAAUGCGGAGCCGACCCAGGAGCCGUCAGAUGCCUGAGCUCCUCGCUCCGGGACUCCAGCUCUGAAUGAAACGACGGAUCGCAGCAGGCGGAGCUGUCGUUAUUGUGAUGAGUGACCGAACAGAAGAAACCAAAACAAAGUUUACGAGACGACGCAGAGGACGCCGUUGGACAAGUCUGCAGAAGAUGGAGCGGGUAUGUAAACAGAGUGCGGAUGAGCACGUUCUUAAAUGCAUGUAAAUCUCUUCCAAAUCACUGAAGUGGGAUAUUUCAGGUGCUCGAUGAACCGCAGGAAAUCCUGUGGAUUUAUUCUGU